rnacentral:rRNA from 1 species
GACUCCUCGCAUGGGGUGUCGGGAAAGAUUCAUCGGUAUGGGAUGGGGUCGCGUCCUAUCAGGUAGUCGGCGGGGUAACGGCCCACCGAGCCUACGACGGGUAGCCGGCCUGAGAGGGCGACCGGCCACAUUGGGACUGAGAUACGGCCCAGACUCCUACGGGAGGCAGCAGUGGGGAAUAUUGCACAAUGGGCGCAAGCCUGAUGCAGCGACGCCGCGUGCGGGAUGACGGCCUUCGGGUUGUAAACCGCUUUUGAUCGGGAGCAAGCCUUCGGGUGAGUGUACCUUUCGAAUAAGCACCGGCUAACUACGUGCCAGCAGCCGCGGUAAUACGUAGGGUGCAAGCGUUAUCCGGAAUUAUUGGGCGUAAAGGGCUCGUAGGCGGUUCGUCGCGUCCGGUGUGAAAGUCCAUCGCUUAACGGUGGAUCUGCGCCGGGUACGGGCGGGCUGGAGUGCGGUAGGGGAGACUGGAAUUCCCGGUGUAACGGUGGAAUGUGUAGAUAUCGGGAAGAACACCAAUGGCGAAGGCAGGUCUCUGGGCCGUUACUGACGCUGAGGAGCGAAAGCGUGGGGAGCGAACAGGAUUAGAUACCCUGGUAGUCCACGCCGUAAACGGUGGAUGCUGGAUGUGGGGCCCGUUCCACGGGUUCCGUGUCGGAGCUAACGCGUUAAGCAUCCCGCCUGGGGAGUACGGCCGCAAGGCUAAAACUCAAAGAAAUUGACGGGGGCCCGCACAAGCGGCGGAGCAUGCGGAUUAAUUCGAUGCAACGCGAAGAACCUUACCUGGGCUUGACAUGUUCCCGACAGCCGU